rnacentral:snoRNA from 1 species
UGCAAUGAGAUGAAAUGUCUUUUUUUAACUUUGACUGGUUACAUGAUGAAUAAAACAAAAUCGCCAUCUUUCGGCUGACAAUUGUG